AUGCAUGUGUGAACUCUACACCUCUGCAUACAACUUUUUGUGUAGUAUUUACAAUGGAAAAAAAUUGGUUUAUGGAGCUUAUUUCUAAUCAUUCUUCAAACGUAGUUUUUACUGCUAGCCUCUUGAUACUGGAGUGGUUACUGGAAGCAGACUUUGUGUGUCCGUGCUCUUUUGGAUGGAAUGUAGUAUUUACUACUGCGUUCUUUUGCAUUCCAGCUUUUUUAUUAUUAUUUCUCUUGGCAAAAAAGGAGGCAUGCCACUGUUGUUGUAUAAUGAAAAUUCUUUUUCCACCAUUUGCAUGGGUGACUGUGCUGCUAUAUGAUGGAAAAUAUGUGGCAUGUGGGUUCACUCACUAGGAAGGAAUAUAUAUGCCCCUAGACAGGGGUACUUCUCAGAAGUGGUGCAGACCCCUUAAUGACACACAAGAAAUUAAAGAUAAGAUGGUUUUGUCUCAAAGAUAUUACUUAUAUUCUCAGGCUGCAGCUUUGGCCUGUAUUACUGUGAUUAUGCUGGGAGCAUUCGUGUGGAAGGUACGAGAGUGCUGCAGAGAACACAACACCCCCUCCAACAGCACUGAAAUGAAUCCUCUCACAGAUGAACAAAAAGUGGAAGAAACUAUUGUUAAAAUUAUAGACUCAUUGAAGAAGAAGUACAGUGAACAAACCAAUCAUCCUUCUGGGUCGCAGGGUGCCGACUCCAAUUAGCCUCAGCAUGUCUUUGGACUGUGGGGAGAAACCGGAGUGCCGGGAGGAAACCCCACGAAGACAUGGGGAGAACAUGCAAACUCCACACACAUGUAACCCAGGCAGAGACUCAAACGUGGGGCCCAGAGGUGUGAGGCAACAGUGCUAACCACUGCACCACCAUGCUGCCCUCAGUCAAUGAACUAGCACCAGCCAAUUAUAAUGAACCAACAUUUUUUUAUAAACUCAGAAACAGGUUAUCAUUGCUUGUACUCUUAUUUGUUUUCCAGUUGCUGUGUACUAUGCAUGAAUAUGGCAUUCUGAUAAAUAAAUGCAGGGUGUUUGUAUAUAUGUAAAAUCUGAAUAAACAUACAGUAUAUGUGUAUAUAUACACUGUGUAUACAUGUUUAGAUUUUUGUAAUGCAAAAUUAUUGAUGUUAUCCAUUAGUAUGUACAUAGCAUUAAACCUACCUUUUAAGCAUCGCAUUUAUGUUUUCAUUAAUGUUUAACGUAUGGAAGUAAAUUAAUGAAAAAAGUAAUUGAUGCAAAGAUGCUUGUUGAAUUACAUUAAUGGAGUAAAACGCAUUGCAUUUAAUAAUGCUUGAAUAUUUGGGGGUUGUAAUUUUAUAUGAAUGUAAAUUUAAGCAUGGAAUAAUUCAGCUGAAAAUAUUUCAGUUGUAAUUUCAUUGGUAAAAUAAUCAAUGCAAAAAUAUUCGCCUUCCACAAUUGAGUUCCAAAAUAUACAGUUCAUUUUUGUAAUUCAAUCAUCUGAAUUAUAAACUUUUGCCUGAAAAUAAAUUUUGGAAUUCAGUUGGAAACAUUCAAUGUGUUUUAAUGGCAUCUUCAUAAUUCAAGAGGUAAUAUUCAGUCCUUUUAUUUUCGCUUUAUAUGUGGAUUAUGUGGAUUAUUAUUAGGAUUAAAUGUUCCCCACAAUGUAAUAAUAACCUGUUAUUUUGACAUUAUGAGGACCAUUUUUAGGUCCCCACAAAGAUCUGUGAAUGCAAUCAAUAAACUAAAAAUGCCCAAAAUCUCA